rfam:Sorghum bicolor cultivar BTx623 chromosome 1, whole genome shotgun sequence.
GUAGUCGUAUUCACAUCAAUCCACAUGUGUUGAGGUGGAUUGGAGUGGAACUUGAACUAAAUUCCACUCCAAUCCACACCAACACAUUGAAGUAAAUACGACA